rnacentral:misc_RNA from 1 species
GAUGAAGAACGUAGCGAAAUGCGAUAAGUAAUGUGAAUUGCAGAAUUCAGUGAAUCAUCGAAUCUUUGAACGCACAUUGCGCCACCUGGUAUUCCGGGGGGCAUGCCUGUCCGAGCGUCAUUACAACCCUCAAGCUCAGCUUGGUGUUGGGCCCCGCCGCCCCGGCGGGCCCUAAAGUCAGUGGCGGUGCCGUCCGGCUCCGAGCGUAGUAAUUCUUCUCGCUCUGGAGGUCCGGUCGUGUGCUCGCCAGCAACCCCCAAUUUUUUUCAGGUUGACCUCGGAUCAGGUAGGGAUACCCGCUGAACUUAAGCAUAUCAAUAAGCGGAGGA